rnacentral:rRNA from 1 species
UACGGGGGGGGCAAGCGUUGUUCGGAAUUACUGGGCGUAAAGGGCUCGUAGGCGGCCAACUAAGUCGGAUGUGAAAUCCCCAGGCUUAACCUGGGAACUGCAUCCGAUACUGGAUGGCUUGAAUCCGGGAGAGGGAUGCGGAAUUCCAGGUGUAGCGGUGAAAUGCUUAGAUAUGACAUAGAAUACCAAUUGCGAAGGCAGCUGGCUACGCGAAUAUUGACACUCAGGCACGAAAGCGUGGGGAUCAAACAGG